GCCACUCAACGUCAAUGAACAUAGCGCUCACACCCAUUCUGGUACAAGUUUUUCACUGUGGUCCAGAAAGGUUUGUGUACAACGUUUCGACAGAAAACGUCUGCAGCCACAGUACACUGUGGGAAGCUCGGACAUCUUAUUGUUAAUUAGCAGCCCAAGGCAAAUACCUGCUUGUCAAAUCGAUAGGACGAGCUACAGGGCUGCUUUCAUCUCAACCGGCCCGACUUGAAAUUUGACACCGGUAGAGUUUACCUGUGGACUCUUCGGACGUAGAAAGGAACAGUUUUUGGUGAAAAUGUCGCUUGUCAACAGGGCGUUAUCUCGGGAGGGGCAUGCCGCCAUGAGCAUGAGGGGGGAGUCGGACAGAUGGAUUACGAUUCAGAAAAACACGUUUACUAACUGGGUAAAUGAACAGCUGAGAGUCGGAGGGAAUACAAGAAUGGUAGAGGAUCUACAAACCGCUUUUGAGGAUGGAGUAUUGCUAUGUGCACUUAUUGAAUCUCUACAAGGGAAGAAAAUCGGACGGGUCAUAAAAAAACCAAUGAACCACCAUCAGAAUCUGGAGAACUGUACCCUGGCACUGGCGGCUAUUGCCAAUGAUAACGUGCGCCUUGUGAACAUAGGAAGUGACGAUAUCUCCAACGGUAACCUGAAGCUGAUUUUGGGGUUGAUAUGGCAUCUUAUUCUACGUUACCAAAUUGGCAAGACCAAGUUCCCCGCCAAAAAGCUGAUGUUGGCAUGGCUACGAGCCGUUAUCCCAGAAUGCGGCAUCACAAACUUCACCUCAUGCUGGAACGAUGGCGUUGCUCUCCAUGCCCUAGUGAAUUACUGUGACCCAAGGAUAGAGGAGGCCACUAACUGGAGAUAUCUUAGUCACAGUGAUAGUCUGAACAACUGUAGCAAUGCCAUGAACCUGGCCAAGCAGCACUUUGACAUUCCCCUGGUCGUACGACCCGAGGAUCUGUCCAGCCCCGACCUUGACGAGCUGUCUGGAAUGACCUACUUGUCCUACUUCAUGAAGAUUGACUCGCCUGGUUACAUGGCAACCAGGAACAUGGUCCGCAACCUCCUUAGGAGUGGUACCUUCAACAACUUCACAGAAGACUGGGCUGAUGGGAGACUGUUGUGUAACCUUGUUACCUCCCUUGGAGAGUCUGCCUCACCUAUGGGUAAUCCAGUGGACGACUUACAGCAGGGUAUUGAUGCGGCCCGCAGGCUGGGCGUGGAGCCUAUCCUCACAGCCAAGGAGAUGUGUGACCCAGAGGUCGAUCAUAUCGGAAUCAUGGCAUAUGCAGCAUAUUUCGGAAACUUUAAGCCUGUUCGCACAGCAGCAGAGAAGGUUGUCAUGGAGGCGGGUCCCAGGAACGUCUUCAUUGAACAGGAGGCCGAUUUCUCGCUGCGUAUAGAUGAUUCUGAGCUAACCGCGUCAGAUGUGAGGGCCGAGAUUAAGGGACCUGACUCCAACCCUGCUGUACACUUUAACUGGGUUGGGAGCCGAGCCACUGGAACGUUUACCCCAACAGAGACUGGGCACCACAGGCUGAAUGUUUACUGUGAAAACUCACUCAUUGUUGGAUGUCCAGUGUCCUUCAAGGUCCUUGCUGACAGGUCAAGGGUCAGAUACAUCGGUCCAGACAGGUGUUCUGCUGGUCUUAUCUCUGAACUAAAGGUUGAUGUUACGAGUGCAGGACAGGGCGACAUCCAGUGUGAGGCGCGGUCACCUAGUGGACGUACGGUCAACAUGGCCGCUGUAUACCGAAACGGCAAUUACGUGAUGAAUUUUACUCCAACAGAAGUUGGUAUUUGGCAGGUGUCUGUACUGUACGAUGGAGAACACAUCUCAGACAGUCCUUACAAUGUGACGGUGUUUGACCCUUCAAGGGUGCGCGUGUACGGACUAGAGGGAGGUUCUGUCGGAACAGGACUCAAAUUCCACGCUGACACCUCGGAGUCUGGGACCGGGGAUGUAACUGUACAGGUGUCGUGUAACGGCUCGCACGUCCCCGCCUACAUCCACCAGGACAGAGUGGGACUCUACAGCAUCGACUUCACACCCCAGGGAGCAGGCACAUACAAGGUUGAUGUCUACUUCAAUGACACGGAGGUCAGAGGUUCUCCCUAUACACUGGAGAUAGUGGAUUCUGCCCAGGUAAACGUUUCUGGAGACGGUCUCAGUUUGGUUCCAGUGAAUCGCACAGCGAGCUUCGUCGUUGAUACCCACGGAUCGGGGUCUGGCAAUGUGGAUGUGGAAAUCAGUGCACCAUCAGGCUCGAAGAUAAAAUCCAAAGUCUCCAAGGACAGGGGCAGACACAAUAUUGAGUAUUCCCCUACAGAGUCAGGUGACCACCAGAUCUAUGUGUCAUUCUGCGGCCAGCCCCUACAGGGCAGCCCCUUUGUCUGUCGUGUGUACGAUGUUGGGCAGGUGGUCAUCACCAACAUGCCGCAGUUUGCCUCCAUAGGGAAGAUGGUCAAGUUCCAAAUUGAUGCCUCCAAGGCUGGGUCUGGUAACAUAGAGAUCAUGGUGAACGACGGCCGUAUUCCCUGUAGUGUUCAGAACCUCGGCAAUUACUGCUUCAAUGCUUCCUUUGUACCCGAUAAUGUCGAACCUCACAGCAUAGAGAUGAAGUUCAACAGCAAGCCUGUUAGUGGGAGUCCCUGGAAAAUCCCGAUUCUGGACAUGAAGAAGGCGCUGAAGAUAAAGAGUGAGGCAGGCUGCUAUGUACUGUGUGACCGUACAGCCAAGUUUGAGGUGGAGUUUGAUGGAGAUUUGAUGGAAACCUUUGACAUAAAGAUAACAGCUCCUGGGGGUCGGACUGUACCGUUCAACAUUGUGCAAGGUCACAGUGACCAGACCAUCGAGUAUGUUCCCGAGGAAGUCGGUGAUCAUAAUAUCCACCUGAAGUACAUGGGAAAUGACGUGGAAGGAAGUCCUUUUACUGCCAAGGCUUACGAUACGUCCGCUAUCAUCAUCACGCCACUUCAAAACGGACUGGUCGGAUCAUCCUUUGAUUUCACAAUUGAUGUAUCGCAAGCUGGGGAAGGACAGCUGGAGAUCAUGGUCAACAACGGUAACCUUCCCAACACCGUUGAGUUGGAGCGUCCGAGUGUAUACCGCAUCACGUUCACACCGACCAGUGCUGGCAAACAGUAUGUCGACAUUAACUUCAACAGUGAAGCACUGCCAGGUUCCUCAUACUCGUGUAUGGCGUACGAGGGUGCUGGCGUCACCCUGACAGGGAUGGACAACAUUAUCCCCGCCAACAGGUCCACGUCCUUCAGCAUUCAGUGCGAGUCGGAUGAGGUCACACCGGAGGUCGAAGUCACCUCUCCAAGUGGAAGCAAGUUGUCGGCCAAGAUCCGCGAGACGAGACCGGGCGCCUACUGUGUGGAAUGGAAACCUACAGAGAUCGGGAGCCACCUGGUGGAGGUUUAUUUCGCUGGGUCUCUAAUCCCAGGAUUCCCUAGUGUCGUCAAGGCAUUUGAUGCCAACAAAGUGAAGUUGUUGACUCAGCUCGGCAGAGCAGAAGUGGGAGAGAUGUACGAGUUAACAUUUUUGGUGGAUGAAGCUGGUGAAGGUCGUUUAGAGGUGGUUGUAGAGUGUGAAGGGGAGACAAUUCCUAGUUUUGUGGAGAGGAGAAAGGAAGGACAGCUGACUGCAACUUUCACUCCUAGGGCCGGCAAAAAACACCUGAUCAUCAUCACCUUUAACGAUCUACAUGUUCCAGGUUCACCAUUUGCAAUCACAGUAGAAGAUAUGGAGAAGAGGGUGACAAGAGUUGAGGAGACUGUGGUCACUUCAUCUGUCACACAACCUCUGUCGGUCAACGUCCAGCCUCUAUCGGUCAACAUCCACGCUCGCCACCUUCAAAUAGACAAGCGCCAGUGGUUCGUCCUGGAGACGUACGGCGGGGACAUCGACUCGCAGAAUCUCCAAAUACAGAUCAUAGCAUCCAACGGAAUUGUAAUACCUGCUCGCCUUGUGUCCCAGUCUGGAGGUAACUUCCGUGUGGAAUGGACCCCAACCCCACCAGGUCGACAUCGCGUGGAGGUACAGUUUUCGGGUCGCCAGGUAGAUGGAAGUCCGUUCUACGUUGACGUGUUUGACCUUCUCUCCAUCCGGGUCAACAACUUUCAACAAGGAGGAAUUGGUGAACAGGCUAGCUUCAAUGUUGACCUUGCUGAUGCUGGGUCCCUGGAGAGCACCAUACAAGUUGUCAGUCCAUCUGGACGAAAUGUCAACAGCAGCGUCGGUGGCGACUACCUGAAGUCGGUCACUUAUGUACCUGAUGAGGGAGGACCCUACCAGAUCUUCGUCAGCUAUGCUGGGUUUGAGCUUCCAGGCUGUCCGUUUAUCCAGAACAUUGACGAGGGAGGUCUCCCCACAGCCGACGGAGAUGGACUGUUCCGUGGAGAAGAGGACAAUGUGGCCACAUUUUACGUUGAUGUCGGGAAGAGGAGGGGAGAACUGGGAGUACAAGUUGAUGGCCCAAACUCCAUUGCCAAGACAACAAUAGAGCCUUCAGGUGACCGGUACGUGUGUACUUACGUCCCUGUAGAGGUGGGCGUGUUCAAUCUACAGCUCCAGUGGAAUGGCAAAAACAUCCCAGGGAGUCCUUUCCACCCUAAGAUCGUGGACCCAAGGAAGGUGAAGAUUUAUGGUGGCUGGCAGACCUUGAUGGACAGCCAGGAAAGAGUGAAACUGAUUGUUGGGGAGGAGAAGCGCCUUGUGUUUGACGUGUCACAGGCAGGUCCAGGCAUCUUGAAGGGAGAAGUACAGGGACCAUCCUCUUCCCUGCCAGUCAUAGUGGACGGUCAUACUGUGGGGCAGAAUGUCAUCUGUUUUACCCCCGAAGAGGAAGGUAAGUACAGGAGGUAGUGGACGGUCAUACUGUGGGGCAGAAUGUCAUCUGUUUUACCCCCGAAGAGGAAGGUAAUCACUACAUCCACCUGUUCUGGGCAGAACGCACACUUCCCAGCUCUCCAUUCAUUGGCUACGCUGUUCGCCUAUCUGCUGAU
rnacentral:misc_RNA from 1 species